rnacentral:misc_RNA from 1 species
CUCAAACCUUUUUGGUUUCUUGACCAAGAAGGCUUUGGACUCUGGAGGUUCUUGCUGGCCUUUCUUUAUUGAAGCCAGCUCCUCUGAAAUGAAUUAGUGGGAUCCACUUUGCUGAUCCUUGACAUGAUAAGAUAUUUCUACAUCUUGGAUCUCACACCAUUUCACUCUGGAUCCUGCUUCUAACUGUCUCAUAGAAGACAAUGGUUGAGUGAUUGCCACUUGACCCACAAA